GACUAGCGGCGAAACGUAUGUUUGACGAGCAAGAAUAGAGCGGUGGUGAGGAAAGUGGCACUGUCAAAUCAUAGGCUGACUGUAGGUUAAAAAAGACGUAGCUAAUUCCAGAUUGCGUUUUACAGCGGAAUGUUCACUCGAAGGGGCCAUGGAGACGUCAAGAAAUCUACACAGAAAGUUCUGGACCCAAAGAAGGAUGUAUUGACCCGACUGAAGCACCUCCGGUCACUGUUAGAUAUCUUUGAGAAGAGUGAUUUGAAGACCUUCUUCGAAAGCAACUGUUCUCAGAUUUAUUUUAUCUUCUAUGAAAAUUUCAUUACACUGGAAAGUAACUUAAAGCAAAAAGGGAACAAAUCUCAGAGGGAGGAGCUGGACUCUAUCCUCUUUAUUUUUGAAAAAAUUCUGCAACUUCUACCAGAAAAAAUCUACAGUCGGUGGCAGUUUCACAGUAUAGGUUCUAUUCUGAAAAAGCUUUUGCACACUGGAAACUCAUUCAAGAUCAGAUGUGAGGGAAUUCGUCUGUUCCUGCUGUGGCUGCAGGCCCUGCAGAAUAACUGUGCAGAGGAGCAGUUCCUCAUCUUCGCCUGCCUGGUGCCAGGCUUCCCUGCCGUGCCCUCCACCAGAGGACCCUGUACCCUGGAUACCAUCAUCUACAACCCUUUCUCCAACCCACCCGAUGCCAAGGUGGUGCCUGAGGAGAUCACCCCACUGGUGCCAGCUGUGCCAGGGGAGAAGCUGGCAGACGACCAGACCUGCUACAUCCUCCAAACCCUGCUCAAGUUCAUGGUUGUCCAGGCGUCUAGUUUAGAGUGGAGGAACAAAGACAACCAGGACACCGGCUUCAGGUUUCUCUUCAGUCUGUUCAAGAAGUACUACCUUCCUCACCUCUUCCCCUCCUUCACCAAGCUCACCAACCUCUACAAGCCACUUUUAGACCUCCCCCACCACAGACCAAAGCCUCUGUAUGUCCCAGUGACCCGUAAUAACGAGAGCACGUUCUGUACGAGGGACCAGUACCUAGCUCCCCGUGUGGCCUUUAUCACCUGGCUGGUCACCUUCUUCCUGGACAAGAAGUACAUCAGCACCCCCAGCGCCAAGAACGGGACGAACGAGGUCAUCCCCAAACUCAUCCAGACUGUGACUGCAGGCAGUAGCAGUCAGGAGAAGGAGAGGGAUAAAGACCGUGGUGGUAGUGAGGGGGAGCCCAACGGCCCCACAGAGCCAGAGAAGAGCCACUCUAACAGUAGCACACUAUCUGACCGGCGCCCCAGCGACUCCAGCCUGUGCAGCAUCGACGAGGAGCACCGCAGCGUCUACGACAUGGUGCACGGCAUCCUGCUGUCCACAAGGGACAACAUCAACUUCGUCAACGAGGUCUUCCACCAGGCCUUCCUGUUGCCCUCCUGUGAGACGUCAGCGACCCGGAAGGUGAUCAAGGUGUACAGGAAGUGGAUCCUGCAGGAGAAGCCAGGCUUCAUGACGGAGCCAGAGAAGAGCAGACAGGCCGAGGUGGAGGAGAACCCUGAGCAGCUGCUCAUCACUGAGACUGACAACACACACACACCGGUGUUGAAAAGUCACAAGCGUUCGUCCAGUUGGGGCAGGACGUACUCUUUCAGCAGUGCCAUCAGCCGGGGCUGUCUCACCGAGGAACAGAACAGAGACAUCAAGGCUGGCAUCCAGCCCACCCUGCAGGUGUUCCUGACCAACUCUGCCAAUGUGUUUCUACUGGAGCCGUGCCAGGACGUGCCCAAACUACUGGACAACCAGGUGGAGGUGUGCAAGGGGGUGCUGAGCAUCUACCGCCACGUGAUCAUGGAGCACACCAUGAACACACAGACAUGGCAGCAGAUGCUACAGGUGCUGCUGAGGAUCACUGAGGCGGUGAUGAAGAGGCCUCAGGAGAACCAAAGAAAAGACCCCUUCGCUGAGAGCCUGGCUGCCAUCCUCUUCAGGACGAUCAUCGUGGCGUGGGUACGGGCCAACCUGUGUGUGUUCAUCUCUCGGGAGCUAUGGGACGAGCUGCUGUCUGUGCUGUCGUCUCUGACAGGCUGGGAGGAGCUGGUGACAGAGUGGGCCAGCAUCAUGGAUUCUCUGACCGCUGUCCUGGCUCGCUCCGUUUACGGCCUGGACAUGAGCAACCUGCCCCUGGACAAACUCAGCGAACAGAAGGAGAAGAAACAGAGGGGACGGGGAGCGGUCCAGCACUCCCAGAAGGCAGCAGCGGUGGCCAGGUCCUUCUCUCUGAGCUGGAGGAACCAGGGAGACCAGCAGGGGGUCCAGGAGCCCAUGAGGUUCCGCAGCGCUACCACCUCAGGGGCCCCUGGCGUGGAGAAGGCCCGCAACAAUGUCCGACAGAAAGCCACAGCUAAGCGAAGCCAGUCUAUCAGCAGCUGUGUCCACCUUUAUGAGGCUUUGCCCGCUACUAAAAGCGUUCCUAUGCUGCUUCACACUGUGAGCUCUUUCUUGCCCGGUCUUUCCUCCUCUUCUGGUAACUCUUGCUCUCACAGGCUUUCAGACGUGGAGGAGGGCCAGCUGUCUGAGUGUGGGGGAGACGGAGAGAUGGAGGCUGGUGACAGCCCUCUACCACGCAGCAGCAGCACCUCCGACAUCACACAGCAACUGUCUGACACCUUCCCAGGCCAGAAGAGAGCGUACUCCCCCAACAACUCCUGUGGUUCCGAUGGCAGGACGUCAGAAGGGAGGAGAGACGGCGACCCACCCUUGAUUUUGAUCCGGCGGAGCAGCAGUCCAGCUGAGCUGGACUACCCUGUAGAGGGACACAACACAUACACAAGGCUCCAGCUCCGGGAGAAAAGCGAGAGUGUGAGCAGCGAGACAUCCAACGGCUAUCUGAACGACGCUGACAGCAGCCUGCUGGCCUGGCAGGCAUUUGAGGAGGAGGCAGACUUCCAUUCAGCUCAGAUAGGGGUCAAAGCAGACACAGAGAGCCAGAGGAACCUGCUGCUCAGCCACAAUGAGGCCCUUGCAGGUCCCGAGUGUGCCCUCUCUCCCCACUCCGCACCCCUGUUUCAGCACCACCAGCACCCCCCCGCCUCGCCAGCUUUGCUCGUGCACCCUGAGUGCCGGGACUGCCCCCAGCUCCUGGAGGACACCAUGCAUCAGUCUGUGUUACACAUGCCUCAGGACCUGGACAGCAGUGAGUGUCUGACUGAUGAUGUCAGCAUCAUUGCAGGCGGGAGCCUGACAGGCUGGCAUGCUGACUCGGCCUUUGUGCUCUGGAGGAGGAUUCUGGGUAUCCUGGGGGAUGUCAACAGCAUCCGCUGCCCCAGGAUCCACGCUAAGGUGUUCAGUUACCUCUACGACCUGUGGCACAAAUUGGCUAAGAUCCGGGACAACCUGGGCAUCAGUGUGGAUAACCAGUCGUCUCCUCCCCGCCCUGUCUUCAUCCCUCCUCUAAGAAUGCUGGCCUCCUGGCUCUUCAAGGCCACCAUGCUGCCAGCAGAGUUCAAGACGGGGAAGCUGCAGGCCUAUAAACUCAUCUGUGAGAUGAUGACUAAGAACCAGGACGUGCUGCCCAAUAGUGACUUCCUGGUCCAUCUCUACCAAGUCAUGCACAAGGGCUUCACCAGCGAGGACCAGGACAUUCUAAACACAGUGAUCCGUUCCUGUUCCCCACGCUUCUUCUACCUGGGCCUGCCUGGCUUCACUAUGCUGGUGGGAGACUUCAUCACCGCUGCAGCACGCAUCCUCAGCCAUGACACCUCCGAGGCUCCGAGGAUUGACGCACAGACCGUCCUUGGGUCGCUGGUCUGCUUUCCCAACCUCUACUUGCAGAUUCCUCUACUGCAGACUGUUCCUGGAACUGAUGACAUCGUCGUCGGGAAUGAGGACAUUAAGGACUAUCUGGUCAACAUCUUACUGAAGACGGCACGCAAUGAACCCUGUGAGGCAGCCAGGUGUAUAGCUGUAUGUAGUCUGGGCCUGUGGGUAUGUGAGGAACUGAUGCAGAAUAAUAUUCACCACCAGGUCAAGGAUGCCAUCAAUGUACUGGGCGUAACACUAAAGUUUGGGAACAAGGCUGUGGCUCAUGUAGCCUGUGACCUGUUCCAGCUCCUCAUCUCUCACUGGGAACACCUCCAGAGGCUAGAGCGCUCUCUCCCAAAGAAAAUCAUUGAGAUCUUUGUGGCUACUAUAGCAUUUCUGUUGCCGAGCGCAGAGCACUCAGCAGUGGAGGCUGACAAAAAGCUAAUGGUGUCUCUGCUGCUGUGCCUGCUGGACUGGUGCAUGGCCAUGCCCCUGAGUAUGCUGCUGGAGCCCAUCACCAUGCCUGUGCUGGAGGACUCCACAUCCCACAAGGCCCCUCUGCUCGACUACAUCUACAGGGUGCUUCACUGUUGUGUCUCUGGCUCCAACCUGCACACCCAGCAGAGCCACUACCUCCUAAGCCUGUCUGACCUCUCCACUGACUACGACCCCUUCCUCAUGCUGGGCCAGGUCAAGAAUUCUGAGCCCCCGCCCUCACACACCGCUGCAGACUUUGGAAACCUGCUCACCGUUGCCGAGGAGAAGAAAAGACGGAAUAUGGAGCUCAUCCCUCUGACGGCACGGAUGAUCAUGACACACCUUGUGAACCACCUGGGCCACCAUCCCCUCAGUGGUGGCCCCGCCCUGCUGCACAGCCUGGUCAGUGAGAACCAUGACAACCCCUUUGUGGAAUCAUCAGAGCUCUCCUCUGAGGUGUUCAAGAGCCCCAACCUGCAGCUGUUUGUGUUCAACGACAGCACCCUGGUGUCCUACCUCCAGGUACCCUCGGAGCCCUCUGGUCCAGGGGAAUCCUACGACAACUCCUCCCAGGUACGGGUCAUCGUCAGGGACAUCUCUGGAAAGUACUCCUGGGAUGGAGGGGUCCUCUACCGCACCCAGGAGGGAGUCAACAGCAUGCAUCAGAGGACCUCAGACCCCUCCAACCACUCCACCACCAAGCCCACCUCACCACGAACCUCAGACCCCUCCAACCACUCCACCACCAAGCCCACCUCACCAGGAACCUCAGACCCCUCCAACCACUCCACCACCAAGCCCACCUCACCAGGAACCUCAGACCCCUCCAACCACUCCACCACCAAGCCCACCUCACCAGGAACCUCAGACCCCUCCAACCACUCCACCACCAAGCCCACCUCACCAGGAACCUCAGACCCCUCCAACCACUCCACCACCAAGCCCACCUCACCAGGAACCUCAGACCCCUCCAACCACUCCACCACCAAGCCCACCUCACCAGGCACCUCCGAGCGCUCCAACCCCCCUGGCUGGGACUCCCAGUCAGGCUGUGAUGAGGAGGAGGAGGAGGUUGAUGGCCUGGACCAGCUCCUAGAGGACCUGGGAUACAGCAGCCCUGAGUGCCUGCCCCAGCCCAGGCUGAGGCUCAACCAGCCAGCCCCCUCUCCCUGUGGGAUGAACCUGGAGCAGGAAGGGGCCAUCAUGGAGGCCAUCCUCAGGCAGACGCAGCAGGAGGAGGAGCAGGUGAAGAGGUGGAACGCAGACGUGAGCGUCAAGGCCACCGGCCAGAGAGAACCCGCUCACCAGGAGCCCAAAGCUCUCUUUUACUUCUGCAGACUGCUACUCAACGACCUGGGCAUGAACUCGUGGGACCACAGGAAAAGCUUUCAUCUCCUGAAGAAGAACUCAAAACUUUUGAGAGAACUGAAGAAUUUGGAUUCCAGACAGUGCAGGGAGACACACAAGAUCGCUGUGUUCUACAUCGGAGAGGGUCAGGAGGACAAAUGCUCCAUCCUGUCCAACAGCGCAGGCAGUCAGGCCUACGAGGAUUUUGUGUCUGGCCUGGGAUGGGAGGUGGAUCUAGCCACACACUGUGGCUUCAUGGGAGGGCUUCAGAGGAACGGCAGCACAGGACACACUGCUCCCUACUAUGCUACCUCCACAGUGGAAGUCAUCUUGCAUGUGUCCACACGAAUGCCGUCCAACUCUGACGACUGCCUCACAAAAAAGCUGCGUCACCUGGGAAACGAUGAGGUUCACAUAGUGUGGUCGGAGCACAGCAGGGACUACCGGCGCGGCAUCAUCCCCACUGACUUUGGAGACGUGCUGAUCAUCGUGUACCCCAUGAAGAACCACACGUUCUUCAUCCAGAUCAUUCAGAAACCACAGGUCCCUUUCUUUGGGCCUUUGUUCAACGGAGCCAUCGUCACUGGAACGCUGCUGCCCAGCCUGGUGCGCGCCACCUGCAUCAACGCCAGCAGAGCUGUCAAGUCCCGCCUGACGCUCUACCAGAGCUUCUAUGAGGAGCGUGCGCUUUACCUGGAGGCCAUCGUACAGAACCACCGGGAGGUCAUGACCUUUGAGGACUUUGCCUCGCAGGUCUUCUCCCCUUCAACCAGCUACUACCCAAUGAGUGGGACAGGUCAGAAUCCUACUCUGCUCCUCCACUUCCUCCACAGCAGCACACCUGUUAGCCCUCCUCUUCAGACCCCUCCAUCUCUGUGUCCUGGUCCUUGUCUCCUCACACCCACACUCUGAUGAAUAUCAAAGGUACCAGGGCCAAGCUCUCUCCACACUGUCUGAGCAGCAGCAUCAAAGACUUUACCGUGGCUCAACAACUUAGUCAGGCCCUGCUCCUUGUCUCUCCGUGUUCUGUUUCAUCUCACCCCCCCCUCUGUUUUUAUCUCCCCCUCUCAUUUAAUUAGCCCGACAGAAAUAUACAUGAUGUGACAUGAUUGAAUGUGGGUUAAGCCCGGUGUAUGUGAUCAGUCCUCUUAUCAGAGCAUCCAUCCCUGUACCAGAGAUAUGCAGUCUGCUAAACACUGGGUUCACACUGCUGUCCCCCAGAGGUCAGGAAGAGGGGAGACUGAGGGGGACUUCAUUAAACAAUGUCUCCUCUUCCUGUCCUGGCUUGGCCUAGAUCUGAUGGGUCUAUAACGACAACAACACCGCUAACAUCCAAUCAGUGCAGCAAUGCUCUCAUGCACUGAUGCAAUUGGAAACCUGUGUUCUUUUAUUGUCAUAACUGGAAACUGAAUCUGUUAUUGUGUGUGUCUUGGCUACAUGCGUACGAACAUGUCUCUGUGUGUGUAUACAUGCGUGUAUGUUGUGUCUUUACGUGCGUGUAUGUGUUGUCCAGAUUUCAGCGAGCAGCCCCAGGAAGGCAGACUGGGAGAGGCAGGAGGUAGUCUGCUCUAUUAACGUAAUUACAGUCAACUCCCUUUACUGCAGAGGUGGAGAAAAAAAAGACCUAUAUUGACCUUUCAUCAACCAUAAUACUAAACAGGGAGUAUUCUGUAGGGAGAGGGGAACAGGGAGAGAGGGGAUGAGAGAAAGGGGAGAGAGAGGAAAUGGGAGAGAAAAUCUUGUAAUUACCCAGUGUGGGGCAUUCAUCUGUUCUCUGCUGGUGUGUUAUUUCAACAUUGGGAUUUUUUUGUAGUGGAGUAGGAGAAGGAUAGCUGGUUGGGCUGACUGAGUCCUCUUUGUGAUUAUGGGAUCAUAGGUUAGUCUGGCCAGACAAUAAAUGACUAUUUUCUCUUAUUGUUAAAUGAGGAUUGGUUUCACAGCGUGGUGCAUCAGCUGUGUCUGAUGAGAGCAGACAUAACAACAAGACUUACUUUAACCAGCCUCUUUAAUCCUGUGGAAAUUAAUUUGGAACAUCUAUACAAAUUGAUGAAUAUACAAAUAGAUGGGCAAACAUUAUUUUUGGGCAAUUGCUUCUGUUGGUCUGUCUGUAAAAGUGAGUGAGUGAGUGAGUGAGUGAGUGAGUGAGUGAGUGAGUGAGUGAGUGAGUGAGUGAGUGAGUGAGUGAGUGAGUGAGUGAGUGAGUGAGUGAGUGAGUGAGUGAGUGAGUGAGGACGUGUUAUUUUGUCCACCGUGGGUUUGGAAUCAGCUGGUCCUCUAUAUCAACUGUUUCUAUCCACAGCACCACACCACAGAGAUGCAGGGCAAUUUCAGGAAUCACUCUAGGUCUGCAUGCAGACUUCACCUGGCAAUCUUCUAAACAAGGGGGAGGUUAAAUCCUAGUACACACAGAUACAGGUGCUCACAGCUUCUUCCAGGCAUUUUUCUGAGAAGUGGUUCUUCUUAUUUUUUGAAAUGUCUUUUUUGUCAACAUGUUUUCCUGUAUUUACAGCGGCCGUGUGGAUAGUGUACAAUACAUUUAUGUUCAUGUACAUCCUCUAAUAUAUAGUCUGUUUAUGUCCUGUGUAUGGUUCUAUGCAUCAACACAUGGCCAUUGAUAUAUAAUCACAGAAGGCUGCUUAGUUUUGUCCCUUUGUUGUGUCUGUGACCUCAGACUUAAAAAGCUGCUCUCAUUGUCACCCUUCUCAGAUGUGCUGGUGUCUAGUAAUACAGUGAUUGGCUGUUGCCCUCUCAUGUGUCUUUGUCAUGCCUGUGUCUCAUGUUCCAUAUGCUGCUGCAGUGUGAGUGUGUGUGUGUGCUUGUCAAUACCCCUGCUUAGGUUCAUUGCUCCACUAACAUGUCAUCCAUGACGUGCAGCGUGCCGGCGUUGGCCGGGGAUGGUUUGGGACAUGGAGUACCCUUGGGCCAAGCUGGACUGUAAGACUUCUGCCUGUUUCCUCUACUAGGCAUGAUGCCCAUUGCCCACCCUCCACCUUAACCUGACCUUCACCUUUGAUCCCACAGCUACACCAUCUCAGUAACCAUCAAUCAUACUAACCUGCACCCCGACCCCGGACACUUCUAAUAUCCCACUUCCUCCUGCAUGAGUCAUCUCUAACCUACAGUAGAUUAUCCCCAUCCUCACCACUGUGGCUCUGCUGUGUGACUGGAGCGUUUGCUCUGUGUGUCUACUGUCUGAGUUGUUUAUGUGGUUUGAGUGUUUGUUCACACUGACAUAUUGACAUGUUGAAGUUUCUUUUUUUGGGCCGGGGGGUUGGACUCAGUCGGGGUCUCAAAUUACUGUAGAGAGUAAGAAUAGCAGAAUACACAAGGUGCAAUUUGGAAAUGUGGUUGUGCAUCAGCAGUUUGUCAGUCACUCAAUUAGCCCAUGUCAGUAAAAAAUGUUUAGAUUGGUAAGUUAUUAUAGCGGCUUAGUAAACUUAGGAAUCAUGGUCGAAUUCCCGGCCUAGGGCCCCCAUUUCAAUUUUGUUAGUCAGUCUCACUCAGAUAUCAUAUUAAAACCUGCAAACAUUUCUCUUCACCCUAUGGAAAAAUGUGUAGAAUUGCAGGUAAUUAGCUGUAAAAUAGCAAAUUGUCCUGUCCGCCCCAUGGCAUAACGAGUAGAAUUGCAUGAAAUGAGUUCUAAUUUUGCAACAUUUUGUCUACGCACCAUGGGAAAAUGUGUAGAAUUGCACAAUUUAACUCUAAAAUGUAGAAAUGUUCUUUCCACUGUCAAGAGGGGGGCUGCUUAAAUCAUAUCAAAUUCCUUAUAUUAAGCCAACCAGACAAAGAUUUUCUUGUUUUCUUAAUUUACGGAUAGCCGUAGGCACACUCCAACACUCAGACAUAAUUUACAAACAAAGCAUUUGUGUUUAGUAAGUCCACCAUAUCAGAGGAAGUAGGGAUGACCUUGAUAAGUGCAUGAAUGUGACCAUCUUGAUAAGUGUGUGAAUGGGACCAUUUUCUUGUCCUGCUAAGCAUUCAAAAUGUGAUGAGUACUUUUGGGUGUCAGGGACAUGUAUGGAGUAAAAAGUCCAUCAUUUUCUUUAGGAAUGUACUGGAGUAAAUGUAAAAGUUGUCAAAAAUAUAAAUUGUAAUGUACAGAUGCUUAAAAACACUACUUAAGUAGUACAUUCAAUUAUUUUUACUUAAGUACUUUACACCACUGCGCGCGUUGGUACGCAGACCCACGAGCAACUGCGGCCCCUCCAUGAGUUCAGUUUUUUUGUGGCCCCCACCCCCAUCAAAGAUGUCCAUCCCUGGGUUAAAUGAACGUAGCUAUAAGAGCCAAGUCAACAAUGAUUCUCGCUCUUCAAAUCUUUCAAUGUAUCCAGACAGUCCGUGGGACUGAAGAGCUCUCAGCAACCCCCCCAGACAGGCCUCCUUCUCUCACCCUAAACCACUCUGAGACAACAGCUCUUCACCUGCUCAGCAUACCGCUACAGCUUCAUCUGAUGGCAACAGAAGACCCUCUAACUUUUACUAUGUGUCAACUAGUCAAGGAGCUGCCAGGCACACUGGUUUAAAUGACUGUUGACGUCUACUCUACUGUGGAGCAGACUGUUGACGUCUACUCUACCGUGGAGCAGACUGUUGACGUCUACUCUACCGUGGAGCAGACUGUUGACGUCUACUCUACCGUGGAGCAGACUGUUGACGUCUACUCUACCGUGGAGCAGACUGUUGACGUCUACUCUACCGUGGAGCAGACUGUUGACGUCUACUCUACCGUGGAGCAGACUGUUGACGUCUACUCUACUGUGGAGCAGACUGUUGACGUCUACUCUACUGUGGAGCAGACUGUUGACGUCUACUCUACUGUGGAGCAGACUGUCGACGUCUACUCUACUGUGGAGCAGACUGUCGACGUCUACUCUACUGUGGAGCAGACUGUCGACGUCUACUCUACUGUGGAGCAGACUGUCGACGUUUACUCUACCGUGGAGCAGACUGUUGACGUCUACUCUACCGUGGAGCAGACUGUUGACGUCUACUCUACCGUGGAGCAGACUGUCGACGUUUACUCUACUGUGGAGCAGACUGUCGACGUCUACUCUACUGUGGAGCAGACUGUCGACGUCUACUCUACUGUGGAGCAGACUGUCGACGUCUACUCUACUGUGGAGCAGACUGUCGACGUCUACUCUACUGUGGAGCAGACUGUCGAUGUCUACUCUGGAGAAACCUGUGCCUGUAUUGGUGUUGCACACAAUUUUGUCUAUAAUGUUUUGUUACAUUUUACUGGUCUCGUUAUCUCAUGAUGUUGAACUGGUUGAGAAGCGUUUCUGAUAAUCCAGUCAGUUCCUGCUCUAUGAUCUGUCCAACAUAUACACAUUUUAUAAUAAGCAGUCAUACCAACCUAUGUGAUGUCAAGUUACAGAAAUCAUUUACCCAUUUGAUUAUUGGCUGGACAGAUUUUUAAGGGCAUGGAACAAACUCAAACCAACUUUCAAGAGGCCCUCUAGCUUUCUGAAAAUUGUCCCUGUCUCUUAACAUAUUAAAUGCUUUAUGUCUUGUAUGACUUUGAUCCUCACAGUGAUAAUAAACAACAACAUACCACCACACAGGCUUUCUGAAUGUCGCCCUCAUCUCCCUUCCCUAGUACCCUCCCUGACUGACUGUCUACAGCAAGGCUGUGUUGUGUGACUUUGUCUUAAUGUGACGCUCUACUGUCUGUUUUUCUUUUAGAUGAAACAAUGUUAAAGGUGUCAUUGCGGUAAUUGAAGAAGGCUCCCUCAGUGGCAGCACGAGUGCUGAGCUCAGUGUUUCCGUAGGAACGGACCAUGUGGACCAGGUCUCUCCCACGAUGCCCCGUGCCACAAAGAACAGAGUUUCCGGAAAACUCCGCCGAUCAGCCAGCGCCAUAAGCAAAUCCUCCAACUGAGCUCUCUCGCCCGACCCACCCCCAAAACCUCCCGUUUGGCCUUCACUACCGGUCCUGUUUUAAACCAUCAUACUGACCCCUUAUGACUGCAGUUUGGGGGUGUGCUUUGUUUGUUUGUUUUGUUUUGUGUGUGUCGUUUAAACAUUUAACUGGAGCAUAUUGCACAUUUUAAUUUGUGGCAAUUAUUGAUUCUUUGAUACAUUUCCAAUUGUUUUGCUGUCGAACUGCAUAUUUGAGAUGAAGCUAUUGACGUUUUUUCCAAUGUGGCUGCACUUUGUUUUUGAAGAAUCAAUGGUUCUUUUCUAAUUUAUUACUGAUAAAUGGCACUACUCAGUACAGUGAUAAAACGAGGUAUGUAUAGCCAGGGACUGGAGUGAAAGAUCAUGUUAGGAGACUUGAAGUCCACCUAUCAUGAACAUUUCCAUAUUGUUUUUUCAUGCCACAGCUGUUGAGCGGGUAGUUGACAGUGCUGUAGAGGAAAACUCUAAGAGGCUGAACUUCUAGAGAAAUGGGAGACUGUUUUAGAUUGUAUUCUUGUGAAGAGAAGCAGCCGUGCAUAUAUAGUUAAUAUAUACUGUAAUAAAACAUUUCUUAUCGUCCACAUGCAUUUUGAUAUGUCUGCCUUUUUGGUUUUCUCAUUGACCCCCCCCCCGUGAUCCUGCUGUGUGAAACACUGAUGAUAGUCUUGCAAUGCUGUUGACAGGAUAGGAUUAUUUUUAAGGGUGGUGUUGUGUUGUUUGGUUUGUUGUUUUAUCCUGGGUCUUGAGCCAUGGAAGCCUGUCUGUCUGCCUGGGUCAUACUCAUCCUCUUGUUGUGGAGAGGAGGAAGGACUGCGUCAUAGGAGGUGCUGCUCUAGCAUAAUGCUGCACCGUACCACACACUUCCUGGUUAUGGAGUGCUGUGAGUGUGUGCAGUAGGAGUCUGUUUUUAAUAGUUAUGAACCUGGAGUGGACAAUCAAUGAUGUCUUUCCAACCCGAGGUGAAUCGAAGCUUGUUUUUGUUUUUCUAUCUUUCUGUCCUUUUUAAAUGGAUUGCGAUGGAUUUUGUCGUGCUUUGAUUUAUGCAACUCUGCUGGAAAUGAGAAAAAACUGCAUUUGUAAUUGGUUAGUGAUGUUAACCUGUGUAGGAUUGUUUAACCUGGGUUCAUAACCUGUAAUCCAAUAAGUUCCAUCUGUCUCUUCCUCUGCUAUAAUUUUCUUGUUGUCUUGUAAAGCUAUACAUAUGACAUUCCAAUGUCCCUACAGAUGAUCUUUUGCACUCACUGUCAUUGACAAACUAGCAAAGAAAAGUUUUUUUCUCUUUAUUCAUGGAUGUGAAUUGCGUAACAUUUUAUUUUAUGUGUUUGUUUCAGUGUGUGAGAGCAUGCAAAGUCAUAUUUGAAGACUUAUUUUGCUGUUGUGUUGUAUAAUGUAUACAUGUGCUGUUUAGAGGAAGAAGUCGCCGGAGCCUCAGGUGAAUCUUAACUCCAUGCACUUGUGUGUGUUUCUGAAGGAGCAGUGCCUGUGUAAUGUCUGUCCACCAAUAUCCAUUCCUAGACCCCACCACUGUUAGACAUCAUUUGAUUUAUUUUGUUUUUCUUCAUUCUAAGAAGCAAACCGUGGACAGCUAGCUUUGCCUUCCUGUCUCACAUCUCUGUUAACUAGAGGGAAAGUGUCGUCGUCGUCCCCCACCAUUUGACUGUAAAGGUCAAUUUCUUGUCCUAGUCCUCACAAGCGUUUUAUAUGAACAGAUUGACUGGGUUUGGCCCACUUUGUUUAGUCUAUUUGAGGAGGUUCUCUUUUCUCUCGGAAUUGGAAACAAAUGCCACCUCCUCUUUCCCAUGAUGCACCAUGAGUAACCUCAUGAGGCCGGUGGGGGCUGGGGAGUUAGAAGGCAUACCAGCGCUGAGCUCUGGCGACCCUCCUAGCAACAGGCAGGUUGGCUCUGUGCUACCCACGCCCCCUCCUCCUCCCACCCAAACCUGCCACUUUAGGUUGCCAUGGAAGCCAGGUGUUACAUACACAUGAUGGAAGGCUCUACCCGAGCUGCAACACUGUCCCUGUCUGUUGCACUACUUUACCAUACCUGUACAUCUCCUUUUUCUUUCAUUUUGUUCUCUAGUUUUUUUGUGUCUUUCUUUCCCAAGCACUGAUUAAUAAUAUAGGAGGCACGAAUGUCGAGUUUGUUCAGAGAGAAUGAAGUCCGUUUUGUGCAAAUACUGACCUGAGUCACAUCAAUGCUCUCACUUUCCCAAUGUAAAGAACUACCCAGAUCUUUUUACUGAUCUUCUUAUGUAGUUUAGAUUGUAGAUUUGAUAUUGUGGAUGGGAUCCCUGUUAUAUAUGGGAGAAUAUGGGCCUACGGUGUUGUUUGGACCAGGGUAAGGAUUGUGUCUUACUCAGACUGGUUCAACUCAUGUAAAGCAACAGAUUUAGUGUCAAUUCUAGAUUUUGGUUUAGGAAUCCUGUACAUUGUGUCAAAUUGAGGGCUCCAGUCCUUAUGAAUAUACAUAUAUUAAUGCCUGUAAUAUAAUGUUUGUAUAAGAGGAAGAGUACGAUUUCAUCAUUACUUGUUAACAUAUCAAACUGUUUUUAAUGGCAGAAGUCAUGCUAUCUUUAUUAGAAAUGUUUCAUUAAAUCAAUUUGAAGUUC